rnacentral:hammerhead_ribozyme from 1 species
GCUCUGCUGAGGAGUCCCAAACUAGGACGAAACGGCUGUCUAGUGC